GCCUGACUAGCUCAUUCGGUAGAGCCUGAGACUCUUAACCUCGGGGUCAUGGGUUCAUGCCCCAUAUUGGGAG
rnacentral:tRNA from 1 species